CUACAAUGAUGGCAGUAUUUUUCGUCAACAGCAGUUCACCAAUUGAGCACAGGGA
rnacentral:snoRNA from 1 species